AGUGGCCUAAGGGGCCACAUGUGCACUAGGGGGAUUAGGUGGAGCCACCGGGAAUUAGUGCCUUAUGCAAACAGGGAACCCAGCCCCAUCAGCUUAGAUAUAUAGAAGCCCUUGUAUUCAACUGAAAAGGAGGGCAACCAGGAACCUACUUUCAGGAUUUCUCUUUUUGCUGAGAGCUUUCCUUUCACUUAAUAAAUUCUACUCCACUCACUCUUCAAGCCUCCGCAUGCCUACUUCUUCCUGGUUGUAAGACAAGAAGCCAGACCUAGCUGAGCUAAAGAGCAAGAAAUCCUGUGUCAUUUUGGGAGCUCGCACAGGAUGCCUGGAGGGGCUGUCAUGGCACCUCUUUUUAAAUGAUGUUAAGGGUGCUGCUGCAAACUGCAGAGAUAUUACUAUGUAGAAUGAGCAUUUGGCCAAGCCACCAGAUAUGCAAUUCAGGAUAAUGUGAUUUCCAUCUGUUCUUAGAGGCAUCCCUCAGCUCCACCCAAUGGCCACAGGUCACAAUUGGAGAAACUGGUUGUUUUACCAAGGCUUUGACUGGAAGGAUGUGCUUCCCUUUAAGGAAUCAAGCAUGACCUGCAGAACCAAUUAAAGCUCCUUAGGAACUUUGGCCUCAUACCUUGUCUAAAGAGUCCCUGUACAGGGUUCCUAACCUGUGGUGAGUAAAGAAUGUCACUUUCUAACAGGCCCAGGAGCCCUAUGUUCUGGGGACCUCAAGAAGAGAGGAAUUUGCCCAAAUCAUAGGUAUUUCAGAGUACAAAUCCAUGGCUGGGCUAGGCUUUAAAAGGUCUUAUCUGAGAUUCCUUGUAGAACAGAGUUCUAUUAAAGCCAAUUUAAAAGCCUAUGUUAAAUAUAACUAUUCUUGCUGUACUUUAUGCAGAUAAUCAAGCCAAGUAUAAGACUUAAGUUUAUUUUACAAAGAACUCAGUCCUAUCAUGAUUUGUUUUUGACAAAAAUGAGGACUGGAGAGAGAAAAAUUGUUUCAAAACUUAACAUACACUUGUGAUUCCAUUCUAAUCUCAUCAGUUGUUUUCAAGCUUUUGCCAACAUUUUAGACUAAUCCUGCUUAUUCCUGUGAACAAACCAGUGAUACCCAGCUGCAGCUCAGAAGAAACAAAAGGGAUGGAUAAUGUAAAAAUCUGGAUCAAUAUUUUAAUUCUGGGCAAUUAUCCUGCAAAUCCUGGAGGUUUUUUUGUUUGGGAAAAUAAGACCAAGGGAGUCAACCAAAGCUAAGCCCCAUGCAUCCAAAUCUUAGCAGGGAUAACUAUAGCCACCAGUUAUCUGGGCAUGUCAGCAAUCUUGGGAUUGUGGAGCUGUCCUUACUCCCUUGAUUCAUUUUGAUUUACAGCUUCUGAUAACCCAAAUUGCUUCUUCUUGCUAAAAGGCCAUUAAACUUCAAAUGGCGAUGCAAAUGAAACCAUGCAUGGAUGUGCCAUUCUUCCAUGGACCCUUAAACAGACCUCAGGAGGAGCCCUAACUGCCACUUUCCCAAAACAGAACUCCCUGUCAGCAGGAAGCAGUUUAGAAUGGUGAUUGUCUACUUUCCCCAACAGCCGUUGGGGGUCUCCACUCCUGAAGAAGGGAAUGAAAGGAGUUAGCUUUCUUUAGGCAGACAGUAAGGAAAGGUCCCCAGAGAACCUGUGACCAGCCCCACAAGUGCUGACACCAGAUGUUUUGUGCAGAUAAGAGAACUUACACAGUUCUCUUAAGCAUGCCUGCAGUGGACUAAGGGCCCGCAUGCGCACUGGGGGGAUGGAGGGGAGCCACCUGGAAUUCAUGCCUUAUACAAAUAUGGAACCCAGCCCCAUCAGCUUAGAUAUAUAGAAGCCUUUGUAUUCAACUGAGAAGGGGGGAAACUGGGAACCCGCUUUCAGAGCCCCUCUCUCUUUGCUGAGAGCUUUCCUUUCACUUAAAAAAUUCUACUCCACUCAUUCUUUGAGUAUCCAUGUGCCUACUUUUUCCUGGUCAUGAGACAAGAACCCAGACCUAGCUGAGCUAAGGAGCAAAAAAUCCUGCAUCAGUAUUGUGAAUUUUGUUUUUAGUAAUUUCAAGAGUGAAGAAUCAAUGAGUCUUUAUACAAAUAAUUGUUGAAAAUUUGCCUUAAGUAUAAUUUUAAAACCAUGAAAUUAUUAUUGAAAAGUACUGCUAUAUAUAAAACCACUUUUUGUUUGUUGUUGUAUCUGAAAGACUUUUCAAAUCAUGUCAUUGAAGAAAUUCAGGACUAAAUUUAUCCAAUUUGAAGGAAACUACAGAACAUGUUAAGAUAUUUUGUACUAAUAUCUACGGCCAUACCACCCUGAGUACAUGUGAUCUCAUCUGAUCUCAGAAAUGCAACAGAGUUGGUCCUGGUUAGUACUUGGAUGGGAGAAACUUUGUACUCUUAAGCCUGAGAUGACAAAUAAUUUUAAACAUUAGCUAAGAAGAAAAAGUCAAUGUUAUUUCCUCAUUAAAAUUUCUUCAUUACAAAUCAGCCUGCAUUCCUAAAGAAGUACUAAAUCAUAAAUACUUGUUUUGGAUUUAUGUCAAAAAUAAGCAUAAAUUGAGAAACACUGAGUCACAAUGAAGAGAUAAUGAACCUGUUCAUAAUGAACAAAGUUCAAUAUAAGUAAAAGGCCAUAAUCUUUCAGUUCUUCUUUAAGUCAGUAAUAUCAGGGUGGUUUUGCUUUUUCUGUAACUGUGCAGCAUACGACCAACAAAAACCCCCAUCCCACUAUUCUAAUCUGAAAUCAGCAUAAAGUAGAUGGUAUAUAAAUUUAAACAAGAGACCGUGCUGGAAAUGAACCUCCAUGGCAAUGAUAGCUUUGUAGGCUUUUUGAAGAGUUAACUAACCACUCAGAUUAGGACAUUUGGUGUCACAGUCAAAUGUUACAAGUAUGUCCAACUGCCACAGUAACUCCUGAGGAGAUUUAGGGGACAAAUGGGGAAACAGAACAGAAUCAUAAAGAGGAUAUAUUUUAGAGAAUGAGAACUUCACUUUUGGAAUCAAAUUACCUCAGUUUGAAGGCUACGUCCAUCAUUUACUAUAAGACCUAAGCAAGUUGCCUCCACUCUCUAAGCUUAAUUUCUUCUCUAUGAAAUGCAUAUGGAUAAUAACGGCACAAUCUCACAGUGCUGUCAUACAGAUUAAAAUUGAGAAUCCACUAAACCAUUUACCACUGAGCCUGGCACAUAUUAAAUGCUCAAUCAAUGUCAGAAAUCAUGAAAGUUACCAUAAUUCUAUUUUCAUGCCAAUAAUAUACUUACAUGAAUCCUAAAUGUUGGGAAUCUAUUAUGGCUCUAAAGUCUACAUAGACUUAAAGAUUAUAUGGCUUUUUUAAUAUUCAGAAAUUUCUUUCUUGUGACCUAAGUUAUUUUGUGAUUAAAUCUGAACUAAUUUUCUUGAGUACUUUCCUUAGUAAAGCUACAGGAAAAUUAUACUUGUGGACUAGUAGUAAAUUUUUUCUCAUCUUCUGUUCCACAGAUUAAUACCUUCUGGCUCAUUAAGGUCCCUUCACACAUCUUAUUUCCUGAUUAUCUCAAAAUGGGUUUCCACUGAAUUCACCAGACAUUCCUCUUAUGUAAUAAAGGCCAACUUAUAGAACUAUUUGGUCAUAGUACGACAAAUACUAAGUUUAAAGGAAAUGUAAACUAUUGUUACUUUCAUAAUAUGGCCUUGUAGCAUUUAAUUUAAUUUAAUUUAAUUUAAUUUAAUUUAAUAAUUAGCAUGUGUAAAUGCUAUAUACUGUUAUGUAGUGUUUCUCCAAGUAAUUUAUAAUGUCUUGAGUAUCUAUACUAG
rnacentral:lncRNA from 10 species